rnacentral:rRNA from 1 species
GAUGAACGCUGGCGGCGUGCCUAAUACAUGCAAGUCGAGCGAACGGACGAGAAGCUUGCUUCUCUGAUGUUAGCGGCGGACGGGUGAGUAACACGUGGAUAACCUACCUAUAAGACUGGGAUAACUUCGGGAAACCGGAGCUAAUACCGGAUGAUAUUUUGAACCGCAUGGUUCAAAAGUGAAAGACGGUCUUGCUGUCACUUAUAGAUGGAUCCGCGCUGCAUUAGCUAGUUGGUAAGGUAAUGGCUUACCAAGGCAACGAUGCAUAGCCGACCUGAGAGGGUGAUCGGCCACACUGGAACUGAGACACGGUCCAGACUCCUACGUGAGGCAGCAGUAGGGAAUCUUCCGCAAUGGGCGAAAGCCUGACGGAGCAACGCCGCGUGAGUGAUGAAGGUCUUCGGAUCGUAAAACUCUGUUAUUAGGGAAGAACAUAUGUGUAAGUAACUGUGCACAUCUUGACGGUACCUAAUCAGAAAGCCACGGCUAACUACGUG